UACGAAGGGGGCUAGCGUUGCUCGGAAUGACUGGGCGUAAAGGGCGCGUAGGCGGACGGCUUUGUCGGGCGUGAAAUUCCAGGGCUUAACCUUGGGGCUGCGUUCGAGACGGGUUGUCUAGAGUUUGGAAGAGGGUCGUGGAAUUCCCAGUGUAGAGGUGAAAUUCGUAGAUAUUGGGAAGAACACCGGUGGCGAAGGCGGCGAGCUGGUCCUUGACUGACGCUGAGGCGCGAAAGCAUGGGGAGCAAACAGG
rnacentral:rRNA from 1 species